rnacentral:rRNA from 1 species
UGACGCCUACAGCGAGGUACUUCCCAGCUCCGAAAGGUCUGGUAAUCAGCAAUAGGCGUCGUGAUGGGGAUAGAUCUUUGGNAUUAUUGAUCUUGAACGAGGAAUGCCUAGUAAGCGCAGGUCAUUAGCCUGCG